GUAGGGUCCAAGCGUUAAUCGGAAUUACUGGGCGUAAAGCGUGCGCAGGCGGUUGUGCAAGACCGAUGUGAAAUCCCCGAGCUUAACUUGGGAAUUGCAUUGGUGACUGCACGGCUAGAGUGUGUCAGAGGGGGGUAGAAUUCCACGUGUAGCAGUGAAAUGCGUAGAGAUGUGGAGGAAUACCGAUGGCGAAGGCAGCCCCCUGGGAUAACACUGACGCUCAUGCACGAAAGCGUGGGGAGCAAACAGGAUUAGAUACCCUGGUAGUCCACGCCCUAAACGAUGUCAACUAGUUGUUGGGGAUUCAUUUCCUUAGUAACGUAGCUAACGCGUGAAGUUGACCGCCUGGGGAGUACGGUCGCAAGAUUA
rnacentral:rRNA from 3 species